rnacentral:rRNA from 1 species
UCCAGACUCCUACGGGAGGCAGCAGUGGGGAAUAUUGCGCAAUGGGGGGAACCCUGACGCAGCAACGCCGCGUGCAGGAAGAAGGUCUUCGGAUUGUAAACUGUUGUCGCAGGGGAAGAAGACAGUGACGGUACCCUGUGAGAAAGUCACGGCUAACUCCGUGCCAGCAGCCGCGGUAAUACGGAGGAUGCGAGCGUUAUCCGGAUUUAUUGGGUUUAAAGGGUGCGCAGGCGGAAUGUCAAGUCAGCGGUAAAAUUUCGGGGCUCAACCCCGUCGUGCCGUUGAAACUGGCGUUCUUGAGUGAGCGAGAAGUAUGCGGAAUGCGUGGUGUAGCGGUGAAAUGCAUAGAUAUCACGCAGAACUCCGAUUGCGAAGGCAGCAUACCGGCGCUCAACUGACGCUCAUGCACGAAAGCGUGGGUAUCGAACAGGAUUAGAUACCCCAGUA